rnacentral:piRNA from 1 species
GGUAAAAAGGGCCAGAGC